UUGGAUUAGUAACUCCGUUGACAGAAGUGACACCCGCGUUUUCUCUUCUCAGAUGUAAACAAAGCGGUAGAUUCCUUCCAGCUGGUGAUAAAACUUCCUCUCGCUCUCCCUCACUCUCCCACGUCACGGAAGUAGUGAUAUAAAGCACACGAGGAGGAAAGCAAUGGCAACCCUCCGAUCCGGCAAGCAGGUUGGCGGCAGCAAUGGCGGUGGCAGCGGCAGCAGUGGUGAGGUGGACGGCAGGGACAGAGGGGCAGUACAGGCUGCGGACAUCAAAGAGAAGAGGAACGCACGGACAAGCAAGGUGGUAUUCGGUAGUCUGAUCCUGGACCUGCUCGGCUUCACGGUGGUGGUGCCUCUGUCUCCUGCUCUCCUCGACUGUUACUCCAAGCACGACUCCAGCAGCUUGUAUUCCUCUCUGCUCUCCUGUGUUACUUAUUACCAGCAUAUCAUCAGCGUUCCUGCGAGGUUCCACUCUGUCUU